AUGUGAAAAUGUCAACUUAAAACAAAAGAAAAUGUUAUUUUGCAUAAAACCAGCGCUAAUUUAUGAACGACUGGGUCUCUGACUUCGCAGGGCGUUACCCCUACACGUAUUUGGCAUGUCGUCUAUCAAGAUCAUCUUCUCUUGAGCGAAGUUGUAGACAAACAUGGGACGCUUAUACUUGACGUGUUAUGUAGAAACGAAUUAUAACAAGACGAUGAUUGAUCAAUCACGAAUAAUACGUAAAAGGAAGAUUUAUAAAAUGAAUAGGACUUUCUGUGUGGUGGACUACUACGACGCAAUUUCAACUUUGAAAUUGUGCAGGAGAAACGACUGUUGAAACCGUCUGGAACUGAAGAAAUGGAAAUUCAUGUUAUUUUCCUAUUGAAAUUCGUUGAUCCUUUUUUCUCAGUGGGAACUUGACAACGCUUGACGACAGACGAUCUAACCAAACAAUCCAGUUGAUUGCAUCCUAGAUCUUGAUCAUUGGUUAUUCCUGCCUUUUUGGGGUAAUCGUUCACACUCGGUCCUGGACGAUGUGCGAGAAAAAGUAUCUUUUUUGUUUUCAAAUCAGGUUUCGUUGUGAUGAUGACCGCAGAUUGUCAACAAACCCGCUGUCUGUCAAUGGGGGAUUUGGAUUCGUCUACGUGUUUGAAUCAGAUUUUUGUUUUAAUUUGCAGAAAAUGUGAAGGUUAUUCCUUUCAGCUCUUUUCGUUUUUUCAGAGAGGCUGGGCAUAGCAAACGGUAAGACGCUUGCCUACACCCAAGGCUCUUAUUUUAGGGGGCGUUUUUUUAGGGCUUUUGUUCGUUAUAGUUAGUUGGCUUUCAUGGUGGUAGUAUCGGAUGUGCACCUGUACGUGGAUCAUGUAGUACUCGUCUCGUGAUUGAAAAAUGUAUUCAUGAGUUGGGCAAGUUACCUGUUGCAGAUUCGUGCUGUUGGAGAAGAACGUCAGUUGAGUUGGUGAUGGAUAUCUAACCUAGACCCUUUUGCCUACACCGACGAAUCUAAUUUAAAAUGGAGCCAGCCGUUAAAAUAAGUGCAACGGUCUGCCGUCGUGUCGAAUAGGAAUCCUCCAUUAACGAUAUCGCUCUGCAAUCAGAUGACACGAAAUUGAAUCGAACCAACAUGAACGAUGUUUUAAUUUUAGUGUCCGUUUUGCUGCUUUUCAAUUGUAUCUGCGAUUACCGUUCAACUGGUUGGUUAAAGCCUCGAUUUUAUCUGAUAACUCUUUGAUAAGAAAUAUAAUUUAGUAAUUCUAAAUUGUAUAUACGGCACAUGCAACUAUCACAUACUUUUCCUUAAUUCUGUAACCAGAUAAUCGACAGUCAGUUCGAGUAAUGACAUUCGUCAUGAUUUCCAGAACUGCCCUCUUUUAUACAUCAAUUGAUUUUCAGCAUGGAUGAUGCCCUCGGAAGGAGCAACGACUUGUCUAUACCCCGACGGUCAUCAGAUCAUUUCCAUUUGACUUGGCUGAUGCCCUCACGUAGAGACUGGAAAUUCCGGCCUGUUUUUUGUAUAAAUUUAUGAUAACAUUCUUGGUCCUCGAAGACUGGGGGGGAAAUAAUAAUGAAGUCGAUACCCGUUCGGCUUCUUUUGAUGAUGAUGACCAGACAGUUUCAUCCUUAUACAUGGUGUUAAGAUGAUAGACACACUAAAUCAAAAUAGGCUUCAACAAGUUUUUGAAUGAUGAAACGUGCAGGAAUUAGAUGUUUUACACCUAGAGUAACGAAAAGUUCAACGCUCUACAUGUGGAUUCACGUUCCACUACGUUAUUUGAAUCAACAGAAAUCACGCAGCUAUUGGGUCGGUGGUUGACCGAGAUGGUCAUAGUAAUAAACAAUAAUCUGGCGUAUAACUUUUGACAAUCGUUCAAAUGCUGGCCUUCAGAAACAGGUUCCCACUUGACUAAUAUGGAAACGGUCGUAUAUGAAGUCGUUUUGAUUUGAUUAAGCGCAUGCCGGGGUCAUUGGAUGUACAACGUCUAGUAUUUAUCGAUAUCUAAGAUCCUCUUUUGUAUAGCCAAACAUGGGUUUGUUUACUUGACGAAUCAUUUAGAAACAAGUUAACUAGAACUAGAUGAUUAAUUCGUCGUUAUAAAUGGAUGCUUCCUUUAUUUAUUUACUACUAUACCCUUACGCCACCUGGCUUCCAUUAUGAAAGUCAAUCGCACACACUUGGUCUUUGACGAUCUGCGAUAAAAACUCUUUUGAAAACGGAAUCUCGUGACCUGUUUUUGACAGACUUGAAAACGAAAAGGACUGGGCAUGUCGAAGGGGUGAGAUGGACAUGGGUAAGCACCCAAGGCUCUAAUUCAAGGCUGGGGGGCUUAUUUUUAGGGCCUUUUUAUUUAGUUGGCUUUCAAUUUUUUUCAUGGUGGUAGUAUCUAUUGUGCGACCGUGUAUGGAUUAUCUGCUCGUCUACCUUGUGAUUGAAAAGUGGAGAACAUAUUCGGUGUCACGAAAACGAUUUGAACGCGGCGUGUCUGAGAUGCCAAUUGUGGUAAGCGUGAUUUGAAUACAAACGUUUGUCAAACGUAUUCUAUACCCAUGGGCAUUACGAAUCCGGUUUUAGUGACUCAUUCUUUAAGGACAGGAGCACGACAGUGUUUUAUCAACCAGUUUUAUGCAUUGACUGUAUCACGUACCUCAGUCGUGCUAAUCGAAUGAAGAACAAAGGUUUUGCCUUGCGGGAUCCUAUAUUGUAUUGAGCAGACGUUUCUCUGCCGCCAUUUUGUAGGCUUGACUCGUUCAAAACAAGUCUGUUUAAGCAUUUGUUUUUACCAUUAUAGUAACUUUACGAUGGAUAGGCGUUGAUUUUGCAAUGUAUGCGUACUAAACUAGCACGCGUUUCAGUUGGACGUGUCAUUGACUGCACGCUGUGUUAAUUGCGUGUUAAAGCCUUUCGUAUAAGGGGCUGCAAAACGAUGGGCACCGUCUUAAUUCCCAAUUUUUAAUGAAGUUCUAUUCUUUCGCAUGUCCGUCAACGUCUAUUCCAAUUCAAUCAUUUAAUUUCGUUUAUUUCAUGUAUUAUUUCAAAGUUAUUGUACCAUUGAUUACAUGUGUCUAACUUUA